rnacentral:rRNA from 1 species
GAUGAACGCUGGCGGCGUGCCUAAUACAUGCAAGUCGAGCGAACAGACGAGGAGCUUGUUCCUCUGACGUUAGCGGCGGACGGGUGAGUAACACGUGGAUAACCUACUUAUAUGACUGGGAUAACUUCGGAAAUCCGGAGAUAAUACCGGAUAAUAUUUCGAACCGUAUGGUUCAAUGGUGAAUGACGGGUUUGCUGUUACGUCUAGAUGGUUUCGCGUCGCAUUAGCUAGUUGGUAAGGUCACGGCUUAGCAAGGUAACGGUGCGUAGCCGACCUGAGGGGGUGAUCGGCCACACUGGAACUGAGACACGGACCAGACUCCUACGAGAGGCAGCAGUAGGGAAUCUUCCGCAAUGGGCGAAAGCCUGACGGAGCAACGCCGCGUGAGUGAUGAAGGUCUUCGGAUCGUAAAGCUCUGUUAUUAGGGAAGAACAAAUGUGUAAGUAAAUAUGCACGUCUUGACGGUACCUAAUCAGAAAGCCACGGCUAACUACGUG